ACAAUGUUCAAAUCGCAGGUCUACAUGAGAUAAAAUUAAAAGGCUCUUUAGAAUUAGAGUGCUCUGCUGAUUCUGUACCACGUGCUACUUACGUCUGGAAACUGAAUGGAACAGAGAUAGACACAUCUUAUGUUUUCACUAAAGACAACGCUGAAUUCAACGACAGCGGCAGCUACGUCUGUGAAGCAACGAACGCUAUAACUGAGAGAACAUCAUCGUCUGCAGUCCAUGAAUUGUCUGUAACAGAAGAACUCCCAGUAGUAACAUCAGGCUGUUCGGGUGGUUGCAUCGCUGGAAUAGUAAUCACAGUUUUAGUGGUGUGUGCAGCAGCAGCUGGUGGUGGAGGGUACUACUUUUAUAAAAAAAAAAUCAACAACAAACCUCUGCCACAUUCUGGUAAUAAAGGU